AAACUUAAAAGGUAUAACAUUUUACCUAAUAAAAUUAAAUUAGUUUUGUACGGUAAUAUUCCUAAAUACAUCUAUUAGCUCAUUAAGAUAGUAACUGUAUACGAAAUAAUAAAAACGUGAACUUUUUUUUUUAAUUUUAUACUAGUCCAAAAUAAACGUCUCAGGUCUUUAUAUAUAUGUGAGCAGCAGUGAGAUUACUAGAGCAACAAAUAAUGAUUCAGAAUCUCUUGUAGCUGAGGAAAAAGUAUUGAUGGAAACUGGGUGGUGGAGUAACUACAGCAACAUAGGCUUUCACCAUUGUACAUGGCCUGGUGUCAGAUGUAGUGCUGCUGGAAGUGUCAUCGAGAUUGAUCUUAGUGGCCAUGGUCUGAAUGGGGGCUUAACACCUCAAAUAGGUGACCUUUCAAAGCUCAAAUACCUCAACCUGUCCUGGAAUGGUCUUAGAGGGACUCAAUUGAAGGAAAAAGGAAAUUUAGGGUCAAAAAACGUAAAUUUAAAGACAAAAUGGGUCAACGUGCGAAAUAGGAAAGAAGUGGUGCUAAAAAUACAAAGUGUGAAAGACUUGGGGAAAAAUUUGAAGAAGAGAUUUAUGAGACUUUAUUUAAAUUCGAAUUUGAUUUUUAGGAUUAUUGUUAGGAUUAUUAUGGUAUUAUUUAGAUUUAAUUUCAAAUUAUAUCUUUAUUUAUCUUUUAGAGUUUAAAUAGGAAUAAACUAGGUUUUCUAUGUCCUAUAAAUAGGGGAUGGAGUGACAUGAAUAUUCACUCAUCACUUCUGUAAAAAGCUCCUUCCCACAAGGCUCUAGCCUUUUUGUUUCUUUUCCUUUCCAAUAAAAUUUCAUUCCAUUA